UACACACCGCCCGUCACAUCACGAAAGCAGGUUGCACUAGAAGUCGUCUAACUAACCCGUAAGGGAGGAAGACGCCCAAGGUGUGGCUUGUGAUUGGGGUG
rnacentral:rRNA from 1 species